rnacentral:piRNA from 1 species
UAGGAUGACAGAAGGAUUUUUGU